rnacentral:rRNA from 1 species
UACGGAGGGUGCAAGCGUUAUCCGGAUUCACUGGGUUUAAAGGGUGCGUAGGUGGGCAAGUAAGUCAGUGGUGAAAUCUCCGGGCUUAACCCGGAAACUGACCAUUGAUACUAUUUGUCUUGAAUACUGUGGAGGUCAGCGGAAUAUGUCAUGUAGCGGUGAAAUGCUUAGAUAUGACAUAGAACACCAAUUGCGAAGGCAGCUGGCUACACAAAUAUUGACACUGAGGCACGAAAGCGUGGGGAUCAAACAGG